rnacentral:rRNA from 1 species
UACGUAGGGGGCAAGCGUUGUCCGGAUUUAUUGGGCGUAAAGAGCGUGUAGGCGGUUUGGUAGGUCCGCUGUGAAAACUCGAGGCUCAACCUCGAGACGCCGGUGGAAACCAUCAGACUAGAGUCCGGAAGAGGAGAGUGGAAUUCCUGGUGUAGCGGUGGAAUGCGCAGAUAUCAGGAGGAACACCAAUAGCGAAGGCAGCUCGCUGGGACGUUACUGACACUGAGGCGCGAAAGCGUGGGGAGCGAACAGG